CCUACGGGAGGCUGCAGUGAGGAAUAUUGGUCAAUGGCCGAGAGGCUGAACCAGCCAAGUCGCGUGAGGGAAGACGGCCCUACGGGUUGUAAACCUCUUUUGUCGGGGAGCAAAGCGAGUCACGUGUGACUCAUUGAGAGUACCCGAAGAAAAAGCAUCGGCUAACUCCGUGCCAGUAGCCGCGGUAAUACGGAGGAUGCGAGCGUUAUCCGGCUUUAUUGGGUUUAAAGGGUGCGCAGGCGGAGGUGCAAGUCAGCGGUAAAAUUGCGGGGCUCAACCCCGUACUGCCGUUGAAACUGCAUCCCUUGAGGGGGCGAGAGGUAUGCGGAAUGCGCGGUGUAGCGGUGAAAUGCAGAGAUAUCACGCAGAACUCCGAUUGCGAAGGCAGCAUACCGGCGCGCAACUGACGCUCAUGCACGAAAGCGUGGGUAUCGAACAGGAUUAGAUACCCCUGUAGUC
rnacentral:rRNA from 1 species